UGGGGAAUAUUGCACAAUGGGCGCAAGCCUGAUGCAGCCAUGCCGCGGGUAUGAAGAAGGCCUUCGGGUUGUAAAGUACUUUCAGUCGGGAGGAAGGUGGUAAGGUUAAUAACCUUAUCAAUUGACGUUACCGACAGAAGAAGCACCGGCUAACUCCGUGCCAGCAGCCGCGGUAAUACGGAGGGUGCAAGCGUUAAUCGGAAUUACUGGGCGUAAAGCGCACGCAGGCGGUUGAUUGAGUCAGAUGUGAAAUCCCCGGGCUUAACCCGGGAAUUGCAUCUGAUACUGGUCAGCUAGAGUCUUGUAGAGGGGGGUAGAAUUCCAUGUGUAGCGGUGAAAUGCGUAGAGAUGUGGAGGAAUACCGGUGGCGAAGGCGGCCCCCUGGACAAAGACUGACGCUCAGGUGCGAAAGCGUGGGGGGCAAACAGG
rnacentral:rRNA from 1 species